UGAUUUUUACAGGAGUACUUUCCUGCUAAGG
rnacentral:piRNA from 1 species